CACAGUACAAUGGUUGCUACGAUCCCAACCGACUGUCUUUCAAUAUACGUAUACCUACAUUAGGUAGAUACCUGUUUAUUAUUACGAAUGGUGACAGCAUCAAUGCCCUCCGGACUCUCGCACAUCGUAAUCGCAAUCAGAAUCGGAGUCAGCGUGAUUUCUUCGUACCGGCUUCGGUUGCUGACAUCAUUGAAUGAGAAUCGGUUACAGUAUUUGGACUUGCUAGGAAGUUGAACGCUCACCUCACCGGUGGUAGGAGGAGAGUUGGAUGAGUCAGCUUUUGUUGCUUCCUUCGGUCGGAUUAUGAUUAGUUCCUGUAUCGCCGGCGAAGAUUUAGGAUUGAUUUGAACACGCCUGCUACGAUUUCGAUCAGAAAUAACAAACAAGCGACGCUCUCGCGUUCGCUACAGUAAAGGCCUCUAGGGGAUAUGUAGGUAUCAUGGUCACGGACGAUUAUGCUCGCAAUGUUCUCCCCGGUCGCUGUCGGUGUGUGUGAAGGUAACCUAGAUAUGGUAGAAUCGGUAACCUUCCGGCGAAACUAGAAUGCGCAGAAAGAGUGUACGCUGUUGAAUUGAGGGGAAGCCUCAUCCAUCCAUGAAUUCCGUUACGUAUAAUUAUGUAUAUCUUCCAUAUUUUAUUUAUGGAGGUCAACGUAUUCUUAGGUGUGUUUGAAAGUUCAGUUGAUUGAGUCCAUGGUUGAAUGAGAUAAAAAAACGGAACUAUAACGCUGCAUAAACAGUUUCACUAACAACCGGAGAAAACUAAGUUUCCAUUCAAGCAUACGGCUAACAGACGCCUUAUUCAAAUUCUUCGCACAUUCAAUCAACUGUUGAUUAAAGCAAAAACUGACGCACUUUUCGCUCCGUAUGGUAUCUGACUGCCUUGACCAAGUCAGGAGCACGCGAGUACAGUAGUCAGUCACUUCUAUUUUUAUGUUUUGCAAUUCUGAUUAACAAACAGAGGAUUUGUCAUUAAUUCGUUCAACAACAAGCUUUGAUUAUAAGAAUGGAAUUCACCCACCCGCUGAUCACGGCUGGCAGAGGAUAUGGUCUCUUUGUCUUCAAACACCAUCUUUCGGGUCACAAAUAGCAGAGGUAAUAGUAAUUGUUAUUAGAUGGCUCCAAUCUAUGUCUCCCUAGGUAGCCUCUAACCUCUAAAGGUGAUAACACGAAAACAUUAGGAUUAAACGCAUGUAUUAAAGAAAGAACCGAUUUGCACAAUACCCUGCUUGGUGAAUCCACCUAUGCAUCGCCAAUCGUAGCAACCCUGUUGUGUACAGAAAAAAAAAUUGACAGCGUUAUCAAUUGAUUUACAGCAGCCCUGAUGAAAACAGUCAAUCAACUACGCUCGAUGGAAUUGUUUUCUCCACCCCGAAGCGAAGAAUUUGGACAUAACAGAUCCGACAUUUUCAACAUGCUGCCACUUCUGGAAAAAGGUGAGAGCAUCGAAGGAAAACCUGCCGGGUGCUGCGCGAGCAUGAUGAGAAGAAGCCCGAUGGAAAGCGGGCAUCAUCGUUCCGCAUUUUGAGUCGGGAAGUCGCAACAAUCGAACAAACUAGUGAAGAAGUAUCUGGACAAAAUGGAUUUGGCUAUGCGGAAGUGUUAGUCGAGGCCGUUUGUGUUAAUGAUGAAUGAAACAGUAAAUAAGAAACGGAGAAAGAGAAAAUAGAACAAGAAAAUUUAUGAAAACUGAAAAGAAAAACAGAAGUAAUAAACCAGUAACACGGAGUAAGAAACGUUUACAAAGAAGUAUGAAUAACACGAAACAGGUAAGGAUUGUGGUAAAAAUAAAAAAUUAAAUUAAUAAAAAGAAAAAAAUAGCUAAAAAUUAAGGAAAUAGAAAAAGAACCAUAAAAGAAAAGAGAACUAAGAAAGCCCAUCUUUUGAUCGCUGGCGUUGGUCAAUCGUCGACACAGGCCCGGUACUGACUAAUUCAGCUUGGAUUUUGUGGGUCUUCGCAGAAUUUCCAUCUACCCACCGUAGACUCCCGUUGAUCGUUCGUCCUGGGAGAUUUCGCCGAGUAUACAGCUAACUGAUCCGUCAUUCUGCAGUUCCGAUUGAUCUCAUCUCGAGAGCAGAAAUAUUUUUCGACUUGUUCAAAGCUCUAAUUCCGUUUGGGGACACCCUUCCCGUACUCAUGAAAUCCGUUCUUGGCUGAGCUGCGUCGGUAAGGUCUUCUCGCGGUCAGCCGAUUACUGCA